AACAGGAUUAGAUACCCUGGUAGUCCAUGCCGUAAACGAUGAUUACUAAGUGUUGGAGGGUUUCCGCCCUUCAGUGCUGCAGCUAACGCAUUAAGUAAUCCGCCUGGGGAGUACGACCGCAAGGUUGAAACUCAAAAGAAUUGACGGGGGCCCGCACAAGCGGUGGAGCAUGUGGUUUAAUUCGAAGCUACGCGAAGAACCUUACCAGGUCUUGACAUCUUCUGCCACCUAAGAGAUUAGGCGUUCCCUUCGGGGACAGAAUGACAGGUGGUGCAUGGUUGUCGUCAGCUCGUGUCGUGAGAUGUUGGGUUAAGUCCCGCAACGAGCGCAACCCUUAUUACUAGUUGCCAGCAUUCAGUUGGGCACUCUAGUGAGACUGCCGGUGACAAACCGGAGGAAGGUGGGGACGACGUCAAAUCAUCAUGCCCCUUAUGACCUGGGCUACACACGUGCUACAAUGGAUGGUACAACGAGUCGCGAAACCGCGAGGUUUAGCUAAUCUCUUAAAACCAUUCUCAGUUCGGACUGUAGGCUGCAACUCGCCUACACGAAGUCGGAAUCGCUAGUAAUCGCGGAUCAGCAUGCCGCGGUGAAUACGUUCCCGGGCCUUGUACACACCGCCCGUCACACUAUGAGAGUUUGUAACACCCAAAGCCGGUGGGGUAACCUUUUAGGAGCUAGCCGUCUAAGGUGGGACAGAUGAUUAGGGUGAAGUCGUAACAAGGUAACC
rnacentral:rRNA from 1 species